UGAACGCUGGCGGCGUGCCUAAUACAUGCAAGUCGCGCGAACGGACGAGAAGCUUGCUUCUCUGAUGUUAGCGGCGGACGGGUGAGUAACACGUGGAUAACCUACCUAUAAGACUGGGAUAACUUCGGGAAACCGUAGCUAAUACCGGAUAAUAUUUUGAACCGCAUGGUUCAAAAGUGAAAGACGGUCUUGCUGUCACUUAUAGAUGGAUCCGCGCUGCAUUAGCUAGUUGGUAAGGUAACGGCUUACCAAGGCAACGAUGCAUAGCCGACCUGAGAGGGUGAUCGGCCACACUGGAACUGAGACACGGUCCAGACUCCUACGGGAGGCAGCAGUAGGGAAUCUUCCGCAAUGGGCGAAAGCCUGACGGAGCAACGCCGCGUGAGUGAUGAAGGUCUUCGGAUCGUAAAACUCUGUUAUUAGGGAAGAACAUAUGUGUAAGUAACUGUGCACAUCUUGACGGUACCUAAUCAGAAAGCCACGGCUAACUACGUG
rnacentral:rRNA from 1 species